rnacentral:rRNA from 1 species
GUGGGGAAUAUUGGACAAUGGGCGAAAGCCUGAUCCAGCCAUGCCGCGUGUGUGAAGAAGGUCUUCGGAUUGUAAAGCACUUUAAGUUGGGAGGAAGGGCAGUAAGUUAAUACCUUGCUGUUUUGACGUUACCAACAGAAUAAGCACCGGCUAACUUCGUGCCAGCAGCCGCGGUAAUACGAAGGGUGCAAGCGUUAAUCGGAAUUACUUGGCGUAAAGCGCGCGUAGGUGGUUUUGUAAGUUGGCGGUGAAAUCCCCGGGCUCAACCGGGGAACUGCCGCCAAAACUGCAUGACUAGAGUACGGUAGAGGGUAGUGGAAGGUCCUGUGUAGCGGUGAAAGGCGUAGAUAUAGGAAGGAAGACCAGGGGCGAAGGCGACUACCUGGACUGAUACUGACACGGAGGUGCGAAAGCGUGGGGAGCAAACAGGAUUAGAAACCCUAGUAGUUC